CUGCUCCAGCUAGUCCCCACCGACUGGCAGUGCGUUGCCCCGGAAAGAGAAGGGAUUCCCGGGGUUUCCGAGGCGCCCUGCUCCCUUGCCUGGGGGUCGCCUUUCGUCCAUUUUGCUCCCCCGGGAGAGGGAUCGGAUUUUGCUUUCUCAGCCGCGAGCUCCGCGGGGGCAGCUUCCGGCCGCCCCUACCGGGAAAUUCCCGCCGUUGCCAUGGCACCCGGCACUUGUUGCGGGGGGCGGCCUCCCGCGGCACCCGGCCCGGGGUGCUCAGCAUCCCCUUCGGUUUGGCGCGGAAGAGGGGACCUCGCGGUUCUCCAGCCCACGCCUCCCGCCCAGCCAGGCCUUCCCUUGGCUCUAAAUAGGGGGCCUGAGUCCUGACCAGGUUUAAAAACCCGCUCCAGGGGUAGCUUUUAAGAGGACUUUUUCGUUUCAGAUUUCAGAUACUCGGACUCCACCUUUACUUUCACCUACGUUGGCGGCCCCAAAAGUGCUCCUGGCAACACCUCGGAUUCUUGGAUUCCUAGAAUAACCUCACAGCCGUCAGUGGAUCGGGACCUGCCUUGGGCACCUUCUCCGGGCUGCCUCCAGGUUCAGGGGUGUGCCAGCAUCUGGCCUCAAACUGUAGACAGUUUGGAAGUUUAUGCGAACGUCAUUCCUUCCUCGUAUUUGUCGUGCUUCUGAUCUCCUGCCUCCUCCUUUCUCCCUUAGUGACGGACAGUAAAAUCCUUAAGAUCACAAAGGUUUGGGGUUCUUCUGGUCCUUUGUCUCACUUGCCGUUCGUCAUGCAGGUAAUGGUAGAAGACACAGAAAGGAGGAAGUGGGUAGUGAUGGCUACUAGAGAUGGGAGCCCCUUGGGGGACUCCCUGACUGUGAGCGUCCAGCAAGGAAAGGAUUGUGAGAGUACAAUACACAAAUAGGGUUUAUAGUAAACAAAGAUUUUUGAAAAGAAGAGAUAAGCCAAAAGAAUAAAAAAAGGUACCCAAUUUUUCCACCUUCUAUUAAAGUAUUAGAAUUUAUCCUUUCAGAAAUUUUUCUGUGUCUGUAUUCAUAUAAAAUAUAUGCAUCCAGAUUGUUAUUAUACUCUUUGGAGACCUCACUGUAUUUUUCCCCCAAGAAUGUAACAAUGUCUUCCUUUUAGAAAGGAUAUGAGAAUAAAGAAAUGUUUAUUAAACUGAGAA